AGCAUCUCUCUCCCUCUCUUCUCCCCUAAUCUUUGAUGAGUCCAGCACACUUUCUCCUUUCUCCUCUCACUAGAUUGGAUCUUGAUGCAGGUGCAUGUUGGUCCAAGCAUGGAGAAGGUUGAGCUAUCCUCAGAUCUGAAGUUCUUGAGCAAAAUCCAAAUCGAGGGAUUCAAAGUUCCACAUAUAGGUAUUGAAAAGAUCUACAACUUGGCGUUGGUCUCAUCCUCAAAUUCGUUACGGAUUUGGCAUGAUCAAGAUCUGGUCAGAUCUGACUUUGUCGAAUUAAACCAGGAGCUUGGAAACUAAUUUUUGAAUGAAACCAACUGGAUGCGAACAAUUCCGGAGAAGAAGAAGAAGUGGAAUCGGACGAGGAUUUUAUUUAUGUUGUUGGGAUUCUUAUAUUGAUGGAGUUGAAGAAGUACAGGGACAAAUAAGC